rnacentral:rRNA from 1 species
UUGGCGGACGAGUGAGUAACGCGUGGAAAACCUGCCGUAUACUGGGGGAUAACACUUAGAAAUAGGUGCUAAUACCGCAUAAGCGCACAGCUUCGCAUGAAGCGGUGUGAAAAACUCUGGUGGUAUACGAUGGUUCCGCGUCUGAUUAGCUAGUUGGUGGGGUAAUGGCCUACCAAGGCAACGAUCAGUAGCCGGCCUGAGAGGGUGAACGGCCACAUUGGGACUGAGACACGGCCCAAACUCCUACGGAAGGCAGCAG